rnacentral:rRNA from 1 species
UACGGAGGAUGCAAGCGUUAUCCGGAAUGAUUGGGCGUAAAGCGUCCGCAGGUGGCUAUGUAAGUCUGCUGUUAAAGAGUCUAGCUCAACUAGAUAAGAGCAGUGGAAACUACAAGGCUAGAGUACGUUCGGGGCAGAGGGAAUUCCUGGUGUAGCGGUGAAAUGCGUAGAGAUCAGGAAGAACACCAGUGGCGAAGGCGCUCUGCUAGGCCGUAACUGACGCUGAGGAGCGAAAGCGUGGGGAGCGAACAGG